rfam:Theobroma cacao cultivar Matina 1-6 chromosome 5, whole genome shotgun sequence.
AUACUUACCUGGACGGGGUCAAUGGGUGAUCACUUAGGCCCAUGGCCUAGGUAAGCGGCCUCCAUUGCACUUUGGAGGGGCGCUUGCCUAAGGUCUCCCCAAGUGGGAGAGCCUACGUCAUAAUUUGUGGUAGUGGGGGCCUGCGUUCGCGCGGCCCCUGU